rnacentral:rRNA from 1 species
AACGAACGCUGGCGGCAGGCUUAACACAUGCAAGUCGAACGCACCUUUCGGGGUGAGUGGCAGACGGGUGAGUAACGCGUGGGAAUCUACCCUUCUCUACGGGAUAGCUCCGGGAAACUGGAAUUAAUACCGUAUACGUCCUGAGGGAGAAAGAUUUAUCGGGGAAGGAUGAGCCCGCGUUGGAUUAGCUAGUUGGUGGGGUAAAGGCCUACCAAGGCGACGAUCCAUAGCUGGUCUAAGAGGAUGAUCAGCCACAUUGGGACUGAGACACGGCCCAAACUCCUACGGGAGGCAGCAGUGGGGAAUAUUGGACAAUGGGCGCAAGCCUGAUCCAGCCAUGCCGCGUGAGUGAUGAAGGCCCUAGGGUUGUAAAGCUCUUUCAGUGGGGACGAUAAUGACGGUACCCACAGAAGCAGCCCCGGCUAACUUCGUG